GGAUAAUAGUUAAAUAAUAAUUUUUAAUUUGCAUUUAAAAGAUAUUGAAUAAAAUCAAUUUAUCUUAU
rnacentral:tRNA from 1 species